CUUACGAAGUUGCUGGAUUACUCCUUUAGCUCCAUAAGUGAGCAUCCUUAUGGUGCUCACUAAAUUUCAGGCUAAAAUUGCGAGAUUCAAGAUAGGCUUUUCACUUAAUCUCAAAACACUCAUCUUCUCUAGCCUUAUAAGUAGCUAGUUCAAACUUCAUAGAUUUUAGUUCCGCUUGCAUUAAGUUCAGCUAAGUUUCUUGCAUGUCUAAGUUUCGUUCUUGCUCCAGGAUCAACAUAUUUUUGGUUGAUAGUUCUUUGGCUCGUUAAGAUGAUCCCGAGGCAUGAUUAACCUUCAGUUCCUCCAGCUGGACGGUCUUUUGUGCCAGAUGCUCCAACUUUCGAUGGUGCUACUCCAAAGUCCAUUCUGCGCACUUUACCUCGAGCUUCCUUGCCAAACACAAGACUAAUUACAUCAUCAAGAAUGUUAGUUAUAUUGUGAGAUUUAGGUGGACACCGUUCUAUUUCUUUCUGCAAAUAAAAAAAGAUAACUUUUAAAAAUGAUAAAAUAAAAAAUUUAGAUUGUCUAUUUUUUUUUGUGAAUUCUACAAAUAAUAAAGAGAUGGUUUUAUUACCA